rnacentral:lncRNA from 1 species
AAUCAUGGGGAGAGUUUCCCCCAUGCUAUUCUCAUGAUAGUGAGUAAGUUCUCACAAGAUCUGAUGGUUUUAUGAGGAGCUUCCCCCUUCACUCAGCUCUCAUUCUUCUCCUUCCUGCCACCAUGUGAAGAGGGAUGUGUUUGCUUUCACUUCUACCAUGACUGUCAUUGGGUCAAGGUUUUGGCCAGAGAAUAGCAAGGAUGACUUAUCUCUGCUCCACUAUGUCUGGAACCUCUUGGAAUCAUUUGGAGUCUUCUUCACUCUCUUGCCUGGCACCUGGACUGGGAAAACUUGGAACCCACUGGGACUGUUGACCAAAGCACAAACAUGUGGCCUCUUCAUGUGGCUUGGGCUUUCCACAGCAUGGAGGCUGAUUUCUGAGGAGAGGCCCAAAAAUAAUAUACACAAACUACAUAUAAUUUUGACUCCUCAACCAAGAUGAAUCCAGUGCUCUAUCCUGGUUAAAUUAUCUCAGGCGUUCCCAGGUUACUUCACCCCUGGGGUCUCGACUCAGAAUAGAGAUUGAGAAUCACAGAUCUAGUUGAACCAUCCAACUUUUGAACAUGAAUAAACUGAGGACCCAGAGGUGAAGUGAUUUUUCCACAGUCCCACGACAGAUAUGGCCAAACCAGGGAUCCUUUUGCAUUGUGGUUUUGGGAAUCACCUGUAAACAGUAAGAACAAAGUAGCAAGGCUGGGGCUCAGCUGUAGACAAUAAAGCCUUUGCCUGAGGGUUGCAGGAAUGAGAGGCCUCUCUGAGAGGCCCCAAGUCGAUUUUGCCCUUCUCCAGAGACAGAGAGCUGGUCUACCUGAGGCUGACAUGGGGAGGAAAGGCAAAGAGAAGGAUUGCCUGAAUGUCAAUGGUGAUUUUGCACAUUUUACAGUCACUUUUAUAAAAAGGUAAGUGGAAAAAAAUUCUAUUUUCCAUUUCCUGCCAGGUUUUAUAUUUUACCCUUCACUUGCAAAAAAUGUCCAAAUCCAAUGCUUACACUUUAGAGGUGUAAUUUGGUUCUAAUUUUAUUUUAAAAAAUUUGCAGAUAGAGUUAGUGGCUCACUGUAUCGUUUUAUUUUUUCUAAAGCAGUAUAAUUUCUGGAGUGCAAAUGAGAAAGAUUCAAGAUGCCUGGUAUAAGAUAUAAAUUUAGUUAAAAUUGUUCCUCUAGAGUGUAAAUUAUACAUUGUGAUCCUGAUAUUCUAGUAAUAUUAACAAAACUGAUGCAUAAUCUUAAAGUUUAUGUGCCUCUACCC